CGCAGGCGGUCGUUCAAGUCGCGUGUGAAAGCCCCCGGCUCAACUGGGGAGGGUCACGCGAUACUGAUCGACUCGAAGGCAGGAGAGGGUAGUGGAAUUCCCGGUGUAGUGGUGAAAUGCGUAGAUAUCGGGAGGAACACCAGUGGCGAAGGCGACUACCUGGCCUGUUCUUGACGCUGAGGCGCGAAAGCUAGGGGAGCAAACG
rnacentral:rRNA from 1 species